rnacentral:rRNA from 1 species
CGAGAGUUUGUAACACCCGAAGUCGGUGAGGUAACCUUUUAGGAGCCAGCCGCCGAAGGUGGGACAGAUGAUUGGGGUGAAGUCGUAACAAGGUAGCCGUAUCGGAAGGUGCGGCUGGAUCACCUCCUUUCUAAGGA